CAUUAGGCAGUUGAACGUACAUGUGUACUCCACACACCCUGGGCACUGGCAACCCACGCUAUGCCACUGAGUGGAGGACACGGCCCUGUUGCCACUGUUGAAGUGAGAUUCGAUCACCUGUCCUGUAGGUUUCUGUACAGGGGGUUGUUUAAGGGGGCAAGCAGGGAAAACUCUUCGUCUCAGGCUGCAGAAUGCCUGGAGCCAACUCUGAUUCCUAGAAAAUACAUUCAUGUUAAAGGGGAAAGGGUGCUUAUUGGGCGUAGGCUUAUGAGUCUGCGCAUGGAAAACUGCUCAUAUGUGCCUCCCACUGUGUCUCAACCAGAAUCCGUGUCAUGGGCCAGAUGUUUUUGUGGUUGUUAAUCAGUACCUGAAAUAGAUCCGAAAGGACUGAUGUGGGGAGACAGAACCUCUCUAUCUCUGAAGUGUAUAGCAACCACCCACCCCUCAAACCCAUCUCACAGGGUGGCUUUCACAUUGAUUUUCUUUGUGAAUAUACUUCAGGAAAUAAUCUUUUAAUCUGUGAGAUGGAUACAUAUUUUUGACAAGCUUUUCAUCUUCACUUGUUGAUAAGAGUGACAUUAAACCAGCAAGUCAUUAAUCGAGGCUUGUAUCAGAAAGAUUUCUCUUUACACGGAACUUAUGAGGUGGGGGGAAAUUAACUUAAGUGAAAAUCCUGUUCAAUAUAGUAUAAAUCUCCUUUGCACUCUUCCCCCCUUUUCCUGUGGUUGUAAGUGCUCUAGGUCUACUUCGGGGCCUGUUCACACUUGCAAAAACAUCACUUGAUUAGUGAACAGAUGAUGGCUGAAUGGGAGCUCACCCACUUUCUCACUGGAGUAAGUACUGCAUUUGAAGUAAAGGGAAUGCAUGGCCGCUCACUUACUCACUGGAGAAACAUUGCAAUGAGAAGUGAUUUGAAACCUACUUGUAUAGUUUGACAUGUGAAGGUUUAUUCAUGCAUGCAAGUCAUUGUCUGAGGCUUCGGCCACAUUGAUGAGCAUACAUGUAUGAAUCAACCCUUCAGCAAUGGGAAGAAUCACACCUGACUUAAUGACACACACAUAUAUAUAUAUUGUUGUUGUUGUUGUUUAGUCAUUUAGUCGUGUCCGACUCUUCGUGACCCCAUGGACCAGAGCACGCCAGGCAAUAUAUAUAUAUAUAUAUAUAUAUAUAUAUAUAUAUAUAUAUAUAUAAAAUCAGAUAGUUGUUUAUUUCCUUGACAUCUGAUGGAAGGGCAAUUCCACAGGGCACAAAUACAGAGAAGGCCCUGUAACCUCACUUCUUGCAAUGAGGAAACUGCCAGAAUGCACUCAGAGGUGAACCUCAGUGUCCAGGCUGAAUGAUGGUGGUGGAGAUGUUCCUUCAGGUACACCUAGCAUCUCCUAGCAUAAUACCUCUCCCAUUAAAUGUUCAAGUGGUUCUGGGUAGUAAAGCAGCAAAUUCUGUACAGAAACAACACAAUCCCUGUUCAGGAAUUAAAAAAAAAAAAACAGUUAUAUUUUGAGUAGACAAAUUGAAAUCAAUGAGACUUAGGUGAGUCCCAUUUAUUUCAGUCCUACUCCUUUCGGUAGGUCUACUCUAAGCAUGAACUACAUCUGGCUCUAAUCCAGAUAAACUAGCACAGGAGAACUUAGCGCUGGCUUGUACCCUGUGCUUGGAUUCAUAUCAGAGGGGCUUUUUAAAUUGCUUUAUCCCAUAUCUGAUCCAGGUUAUAGUUUCUCAAAUUUCCCUUAAGAAUGUUCUGUGACCCUGUUUCAGUAGAAAAAUAAUUUGUUUACAGUAGUCUAUCUACGGCUCUGAUUCCUUUGUUUGAUUCUCAAGUUCCCAAAUGCAAUUGAGGUUGGAGGGCAGAAGAGGUAGGAAGAGGUCAGUUGUACGGGAUACAUACAAAUGAAUUCUUCCGGCUUCUCUCCUGGAAAAAAAAAAAAAAGCAGUAAGAGAAGGGAAAUAUUUCACCUUGGUGGUGGUGGGGGAAUGGAUCGUGUUUCAGAGAAAUAGUUAGGAUGGGUCAAUGGGUAGUUACAGCGCAUCCUCAUUGAUAAAAGGGGGGUAAUCAGAGGCUGCAAUAAGGUGAAACCGAAGGAAAUUAAUUGGGCAUUUUUGUCUUACCUUUCCUUAAUGUUUAGAUCGGCCCCUUUCUGAUUCACACAUGCUAGUUAUCUCUCGAGUCUACAGACAGGUGACAAAUAUGUAUGUGUGAAGCAGAAUAAACAAAGGGCUCAAAGUACCCGAAAGUAACAAUUUCAGCCAGUCGUCUUCCUCGGAGCGAGUCGUCUUCUUGUGCCUUAUUUGGUACAGCGCUCACAACGACCCUGUGAGGUUGGUUAAGCAGGAAAACCCUGGCUCGCUGCAGGGAGGAGGGAUCUUUCCCCAGUCCAAGCUUAAGGGCAGCACUCAACAUAGCACUAAGCAGAUAAUUUCACUGGUGCAAGCAUUUCUGCUUGUCUGACAGAAAAAUCUCUGGGGAAACCCCACCAGAUGGGUGGGGUAUAAAUCAUAAUAAAUCAUCAUCAUCAUCUCCCCCAGAUGCUGGUCUGGAGGUUCUGCUGACCAUUUGGAGCAGAUGGUGGGGCGGAGGAGAAAGGGGAAAUGCCUUUGGACUAGCAAGAGUCCUUGCACUGGCUUCCACUAACGGAACCCAGAAGUUAACUCACCCACAGAUUUUGCCCACCACACUCUGCCUUAGACCAAUUCCUGCUAUGGACUCAUAAUGUAGCAGCAUCGAGCAAGUCAUGAUCUCUUGUUUCAGUUUCUCAUCUAUGAAACGAUCCAACCCUCAGAGGAUUUUGAGGGAUUAAAUACAAUAAAGGCAUUGCUAAAAAGAAGAAGAAGAAGAUGUUUACUGAUUCGUUAGAAGCUACUAACGCCAGUUUUGGACGAUAUACCCCCCAGCCCUAAUAGAUAGAGUCGUAAUUUUUGACCUGACAAUAUAUCCUGAAUCAUGAUGUGUGUUAGGGCUGGACGAUAUUUUGACCAAAACUGGUUUGAAGUUUGUAUCAUGAUAUCGGUUUCAUAAUUUUUUACCUGGCAAUAUAUAAUGAAUUGUGUGUGUGUGUGCACGCACACGCAAAAAUCACGAUGCAGGGGAAACCGUGAAGCCAGCCAAUGCCUCUAUAUAGCUCCAUCCUUAUUCCAGACAUCUCGAUAUAUCAGUAUAUUGCAAUGUUUAGCUGGUGAUAUAUCACAAUGUUGAAAACCAGAUACCGCCCAGCCCUACUACCUAUGUGUUGUUAUACCAUAUGGAUAAAACAAUAACCCUCUUCAGGUGUUCUGGUUACUGACACGAUUCUCACUGGGUCUCAGGGCCAUCUUUCGCAUAUGUGGCGCCGGGGUGCAAAAAACUGCCCAGCGCCCCCAAUUUUGGGGGGUGGGCAGGCCAAAGUUGUUCAGAUUUUUUUAGGGGGCAGCUUAGAGUUGUUUAGCUUUUGGGGGGCAACUCUCUCCCAUGCCGCUGCAGGAGGAGAGCAAUCCCCACAGAGGCUUGGGAGGGAGCUGCACACCUCGUGUGAGCAGCGUACGUGUGCUCCGUGGGCCUCUCGAUGGCCCGCCAAUCCCAGGCGCACAAGAGAGCAGGAGGGCUGCCUCAGCGCCCGCAGCAGAAAAGCCUGCAGCGCUCUGACGGGUUCUGUUUCGCUUGGCAGCAGCUGUCAACUGACCUGACUCUUCAAUCUCCAAACUCCAAAUCUUGGCCCUGGACUCUUGGCCUGGCGCCCCUGAGAGCCCGGCGCCCGGGUGCCCUGCAUUCCUAGCGCCUAUGGGUAAGCCGGCCCUGCUGGGCCUGAGUGGAGAAGAGCGGGCAUGUGCUGAAAAGACCCACCCCCUCUGACACUUCACUGCCCUCAGCUUAAGAACCAGUAGCAAAUUAUUGCCAACAGCAUUUGCUUUUAUUGCACCCAUGAAAUGGUUGCACAGAACUGAUUUCCUGAAUGCACACAUAUAUGUGUGUUUUUUUUACAAUGCAACCACAUAUUAUAUGGCAUUCGAGCCCAUGAAUAUAUUGCUACCAGACUGGUGUUUAUUAUGAAGAAACCCUGCACCUUAAGAGUCUGAGACAAAGAAAUUUAAUCGCAUGUGUCUCCUUUUAAAAACGUACCUUAGCUGAGGUUUUUGAAAACCCAGAAAAUAAUAAUAAUGAUAAUAAAUCGAAAGCUUUUAUUUAUUUUGCCAAAGAUGCUUCUUAAAUAAAUAAAACAGAUUGUGUCCAAUAGAUAGGAUCUUUUCUUGCCCACCCCCUCCCCAAGAUGAGCCCAACUUGUGUGAGUCUUCCAUUUCCAACUCUUGUCAAUUUGCAGGAGGUGGUGUGUAAAAGCACUUUAGUAGGGAAAAGCAGCAAUCUCCAUGCAUCAAAGUUAGAUGGCGGCGGGGUUAUCACUCCGUGAAAAUCACAUAAACAUUCCCCAUAUGAAAUAUUAUUCAUCAGGGCAAAGCCCUCCAAGGGUUUCGCAGAUGACAAUGGUGUCAAGAAACCUCUUUUUGAAAAAGGGAAGAAAUGUAUUCUGCCUCUCGGAUUGCUUCUGUAGCCAGGCAGCAGGCAGGGCGGUGGAGGGAGGAAUGAACAUAAUUGAGUCGAGAAUUAGCAAACCUUAAAUAUCUGUCGCUGCAAUAUCAUUACCCAUAAACUUGCCCUUUCCCCACCCUUUUUUCCCCAAAGACCGCCAUCCCAUAACUGCAGCAAGACGGAAUAUGUUCUUUCGAACAGCUAAAUCAACAAGGUCUCACAUGAGUAAUGCCGAGUUGGUGUGGUUGACUGGUUUCAUGAAAAACUAAUCAUGUAUUCAUCAUUGAGAUCAAACACUUCCCAAGUAAUUACUAUCAAAACCAAUCUGAAGAGAGAGAAAAUUCUGAAGGGGUGGCAUGGCUGAUCUAAUCAGCUGUGGAAGAGAAAUAAGAGUUCUCCUAGCUCUUCAGGGUUGUUGUUUUUUUUUAAGAUAGGCUCGGGUUAAAAAAAUAAAUAAAAAUUACAAGACAGUAAUUGUAUUUUUUUUAUAAUUAAGGAAGAGAAAGUUGCCACCCAGCAACCAAUCACUUCAGAUCAACCAUUACAACUUCAGCUUAGACUUCUCCUUUAUUAAGACCAUCACAUUUGCCAACUGAUUCCCUCCCCCCAGUAUAAUAAUAAUACUUACAAAAGUGGUUUAUUGUUCAACUUCUGCUUGCGGGAUAAAAAUGGGUGGCGAUUAGGUAGUUUUUUGAUGAAAUGCAAGAGCCAUGGGAUUGCAAGAUGUAAAUCUGUGGUAGUAUAUGGAUUUAUUUUCCUCUACAUUGGCUUGAUGCUUUUAAAAAACAAAGCAAAGCAAAAACAUCUUAACCAAAUUGUGUGACGUUCAUUGUUUUAAAAUUACUGUCAUUAUACAAUGCCAGAAUUAAGUCAAUAGCAGGGCUUUCCCCCCUUUAACGGACUGCAGGGCUUUUGUAAACAACAACAAGAAAAUCUGAUCCAUAGAUUUGUUUAUUUAAUCUACCAAGCUUUAGUCAGAGGCAGGCUUUGGGCACCAGGUGGAGAGAGCCAGAAACUUGGGCUCAGGAUGGAAGAGCAGGCAGGAUCAGAAGGCAAAUGAGAAGGGAGAGCUGGAGAACAAGUCAGGAGUCCAGAUCAUGGGACAAUCUGGGUCAGAGGGCAAAUAAGGGAGCAGGUCCAGAGAACAAGUCAGGACUGAGACACAAGCCCAGAAAUGUAAGACGCGCUAGUGCUCAGAUAGACCUCUUUGCUUGAAGAAGGCUUAGCUGGAAAAGGAAGUUCUUCCUGCCCAGGAGAACUUGUUAACCUGCUGAGGAGGUACAGCCAAGCCAGAAAAGGAAAGUUCUUCUUCAGAAGGCUGCAGUUAUGGGAUCCACCAUGUGUGGCAAUGGCUGGCAGUUCCUGAAACCUGAAUAUUGCAUCCCCCCCCGAAAAAAAAGUUCACCGUAGUGAGUAGAGGUUAGGAGAGAAAACAGAAAAGAAAAUAGCAGACCCUCCAGGUGUCCAUAUUUUCCAGGGACGUCCCUGAUUUAGCGAACCUGUCCCAGUUUCUGAUUUGAUCCUGGAAUGUCCCACUUUUCCUUAGGAUGUCCCUAUUUUCACUGGAGAAAUGUUGGAGGUUAUGGAGUUAUCCGACCCCCGAGCCGUCUGAAGGCAAUCCUGCAUAGGGAAGUUUAAAAAAAAAAAAAAUUUAAUGUUUUAUUAUGUUUUAUACAUGUUGGAAGCUGCCCAGAGUGUCUGGGGCAACCCAGUGAGAUGUGUGGGAUAGAAAUAGUAAAGUGAUCAUUAUGGAACGGGACAUCCCUAUUUUCAUUGGAGAAAUGUUGGAGGGUAGGAAAUAGCUGUUGUAGCUAAGAAGUUUGAAAGAUUUAAGGUAAGACUGACUGGGGACAUUUCUGAGGGAGUUGCAUCUGGGACGGGGGCAAACUAGAUGUGACAUUUAGUUGCAUAUACAGCCCUGUUCAGGCACUCCUCUCAUGUGGUUAUCAUCGUAGCAUCAUAGAAUUGUAGAAUCAGGAGGAAUCCCAAGGGUCAUCUAGUCUAGCUCCCUGCAAUGCAGGAAUCUCAGUUAACGAAUCCCUGAUGGUUGUCCAACCUCUGUUUAUAAACCUCCCAGGAAGGAGAGUCUUUUGAGAAGAAGAGUGGGAGGCAUGCUCCCUGCCUCCUCCAUUGGAUCGCCACCACUGCUCUUGCUCCUCUACAUAUGUCGGUUGUUGAACUUCGGUAGAGGGGAAGCUGUGUAGGUCUCUUGUGUGAUUUAGAGCCCCAGAAUUGCACAGGGAGCAUAGACAAAUAAAGCAGGCUCAUGAAUCGAAAAGGCAGCUCACCAGGUACUGGAGCAGUGGGGAGAUUUUCUUUUAAGCCAAGAGAGGAGGGGGGAAGCAAUUCUGCCAUUGUUGCUUUUGUGAGUCAGCCCUGCCUCACUGCUGAAAACCCUGAGAUUCCUCUUGUCUCUCCCCCUCCAAAUCACCCCAAACAUUUAUUUUCCUUCUGCUCUGUUUUUAACCCCUAAACAUUCUCUCUCCACAAUAUCCCACUCCCAGUUUUCUAGAAAGGCUCCUGGUGAAUCUUUCAGAUCAGUACAAAAAUAAACAACCUUACCUGGGCACAGGAUCUCAACCUUAAUCAUUGGAGACCAUGGAAUGAGCGAGUCGUUAAGAUCGCAGUUUCUGUUUUCCUGGGGAAAUGGAUAGCAAUUCGGGAUCCAGGGAGUCACAUAUGAAUUAUCAGGUAAUAGUGGGGCAAGUUUCCUUUUUAGAAGUGUUCGAUGCAAACUUCCCAUAGUGCACUUCUGCUUGGGUUGCAUGACCACAACCUUUAAAGAGGCUUCCUCAACCUCAGCCUUCCGGAUGUUUUUGGCCUUCAACUCCCAUGAUCCCUAGCUAGCAGGACCAGUGGUCUGGGAUGCUGGGAAUUGUAGUCUCAAAACAUCUGGAGGGCCGAGGUUGAGGAAGCCUGCUUUAAAGGUUUGUUUAUAUGAUUCCGAGCCUCACAGAAAAUGUGAGAAAUUUCACCUGAAUUCCAUAUGCUAUGGAGGGAGACGGUCAAGAGAUAUGCUAAUAUCUUCGCCUGCUUUUCGGUAAAGCCUGUCCAAAGGAAAUGCAGAUCCCGGUUGACAAUUAAAAAGAGAGAAAAAAAUCUAUAAUGCAGAACCAUUUCUGUCUUUUGUAACUAAUGAAGGGCUUUUAGUAUUGACCAGCAUCCAGUCUAAUAAUGACAUUGACUCCACUCAUUUGAAGCCAUAAAUUUAAAGACAUGGCAGGGCCUAUAUUAGUAUAAUAAACUCAAACGUUCAUUGCAGUUUAAGAAAACAUCUGGGAGCCAAUUGAGCAUUACAGAUAUUCAUGUUGCUUUCUCUUCAGUAGCACCAUAUGCUUCAAUUCCUUCCUUCCUUCCUUCCUUCCUUCCUUCCUUCCUUCCUUCCUUCCUUCCUUCCUUCCUUCCUAAUAUGGAUUCUACUCAAACAAAACAGCUGGAGACAGAUAAUAGUUUUUAAUUCCAUAGGGAUAUCUGUGUCAGUGUGUUGUAGCAAAAACAAGAGUGUUCAGGACAUCUUAGAAAUGAGUAACAAAUACAUUGCAACACACGCUUUGGUGAGUCAAAACUGAGGAUUUAAAGGUGAACUUACCUCAUUCUCACCUUCCCAAACAACACAUAAACCGUCGUCCUUCGAAAUCCACGGUUCUCAAGAUUUCGCAAUGUGGUUCUCCAUCCAAGUCAGAUGUGCACACAUGCAUAUGUCAGAUUAAAGUUUGCAUGUAAAACGCAUAUACAGUAUUAGUGAAAACCUAUCAAGAGCCAUUAUAUUAGGCAAACUUGCUUUGCAGAGAUGUGCAUAUUGGAAGAAAAUUGCACUAAAAUGCUGAUGAAUUUUCAUGAGGAAGUUUUGAAGAAUAAAAUUGCAAUCUGAUGUGGAAAUGAGAAACUGAAAUCAACUUCGGGGCUCUGAGAAGUGACAGAUCUUCUUAGAAUUAGGCAACUUCAGAAAGAUGGCCAGAAGAAUGCCAUUGCCAUUGCCGUGGUUUGUCAUGGUGGCUAGAAAGACAUUUAAGCAGCUUUUUGAAAAUUCUAAGAUUAAAAUUAUGAGGCAAACUGCAGCCAAUGAACAGGCAGUGCCUGACUACCUCACCUGGAAUGCCUGGCUCUGAGAAUAAGGUAUUUGCCUUGGUCCUUAUAAGAGAUAGUGGAGGCAGAUGCCUAGCUGGCCACUGCAGAUGAGAGCUGGACCUGGUGGUAAGUGAGCAAACUGGAAGUCAGGCCUGCAGGGGACCCUUCUAAAUCCUGGGUCCCUAAGCCAGAGCAUGACCUGGGCAACAUCUGGUGCAUAGGAACUAACAAAGGGCCCACAUAAAAUAUUUGAGGGAGUCCUCCCAAAAAAGUUGGUGGGCAUUGCCAUUUAAAUGGUGUGUGCUUGAGUGGCGAGUUCCCGCCUCCCCCUCGGAAAUAAAGACACAGGACACCAGUAUUUUAGGUUAAUGGGCGAAAAUAGGCCACAACUUUAUUGAUUACAGGAAUUGAGCGGUAUUGGCUUAGGCAUUGGUCCUAUCGUCUAACCGGCUUCAGCCUGAUUGCUUGAAGACCGGCAAGGGUUAACCACCAGUAGGGGGAGUCCUGCUGAUGUACAUCAACUAGGAGCUCCCCCGGGGUCACCGCUCGGGGGCGUGCCUUAGGCCCACACCUCCAUAGGCUUCGGACAGGGCAACGCCCCCCAGAAUCCUUUACCGGACUACCCUUCGAUAUGGGAGAAGGUGAUGGUGCUUUCUCCCCCCCCCACUCAUCUGCAUAACAAUACCCUUACCAAUGCCUAACCGCCAAUGCCGAGGAAGUUGUGACGAUUUGCUACGAGGUAGGUGAAAAACCAAGUGGCUGGUGCCAAUUUGCCAAGUGGAAAAAAAUCCUACCAGGCCCCUUGACGGUGACCAACCGAAGUCCAUAGCAAUGUCAAAGAGCCAAACCUAAAGGGUGGGAGGGUGGGAAACCGGAGCAGCUGGGGCGCUGGAGAAAGAGGGAAAUCCUUGGCCGUGCCAGCCCUAAAUAGUGCGGGCCACGGCUCCCGGGCCAGCCGAUUGGCUGGCAAGGGAGAUGACGCGUGCGAGGAAUUCCCGAUCUCGCGGGGGCUGCAAGCCAGCCCCUGCGCAAGUGGGGGGAGGGCAUGAAGUCCGCAACCCCACCUCCUCUCCAGCCCGGAAGUGGCUUUGUGGUCAAGAUUUUAUUCAUUAUGGGUGAACUUGUAAGGACUUGUGGCAGCUGUUGCUGGAUUUCUGAGUCUCAUAAGCCCAAGCCAGCAUGGUCAGUGGUCAGGAUUGAUGGGACUGGCAGUCAAAUGAUUUCUGGAGGCCCACAUAUUCCUCACUUCACCCAGCACAAAAGCGUCUUUCUCUUCUUGGGUUUUCCUCUUUCUCUCUGUUUUUUUCUGCUCUGCUCUUGGUGGUGCCACAAAGAACCCUCUCCAGCCCAUUUCUUCACUGCUAUGCAAGCCUUCUUCUCUCAACCCAUUUCCCAGAAUUCUCAUUCUCUUGCAGGCCCGCCAAGUCCACGGGGCAGAGGCCUCUACAGCACUGUAAUAUUCGUUGGGAUGGAGCUCAGCCCCCCUCAAUCUUGCAUCUAAUUUGCUAAUUUUAUUUGAACGGAAUAAUUAUUUGGGAGCAUUUAAAAGCAUAUUUAUAAAUAUUAUAUAUAUUGUACCAUAAUAAGAUGAGGAGGACUUCUGCAACAACAACAAGCUGGUCGCAGGUGCAGGUUUAGAAGGGCCAAAUUGUAUGUGAUGUUAAUUGCUGAAAUGUAGAUUAUAAGCCUGAGCAGCCUUGGGAAAGGGUUAACUCUUGUCCUACCUGCUACCACCCUAGGGCAAUCAUCUCUCCCCAGCUGCUAUUUGCAUUUCAGAGGAAACUCCCAUUGGUGCCAAAGGCAGAACAUUUUUUCACAAUGGGUUCAGGAAUGCCUGUCUACUAUUCAGACUUGAUAGCAAGCCUCCUGGGUUAACCUUAAUCGAAAGUCAUUUUUUCCAAUACAAUUUUUUGGUUCCUGAAAUUCUUUAUGAUCGUGCAGAUAAAAUAUAACAGAUAUAAUUCUACAGGAUGUGUUGCUAAUGUGUGAAAACAGUCCCGAUCCAAGUAUCCCCAUCUUCAGAUGGUGGAGACCUCAGGUGCCAUCCUGGCACCCGGGCAACUUCACUUGGUUGCAAGUGGCCGAUAGCCAGGUGCAAAAUAUGCCUGGUGCCUGGCAAAUUUCAAACACUGGUUCCAAGAGUCUUGCCUACUAGGAUCGAGAAGCCAUAGUUGUAGUAUGUCUUCAACACAUGGGCUCAGUAACACACACAGGUCUUUUCCAGAACAGAGGCUGUGUUUAUUGAACCUGUAGAACCAAACAACACAAACUGAUUUACUGCAGUGGGGAAUAUCUCAGCCAAAUACGCACCUGCCUUUGGAGAAAUCAGCUCCACUAAGUGGCAUUGGCCACUUUGGUUUGUGAGAAAUAUAGCAAAACCAGUCUAACGAUGCCUAAAUUAGGCUCCAUAUUGAAGUAUGCAAAGAAAUCCAAAAUGUUUUUAGUUGUGGAAAAGCAAGAAACACUGCAAUAUAUGCGAGUAAUCUCACAAGCAAGGUGGAUGGAAUUCAUUGGAGACUGAUUCUACAAUCUGUUUGUGACGGUUUUGAUGGUGGUGCUUCUCCCUUUACUGCCCUUUUGGCUGAGCAGCCCCCCACCCCACCCCUCCGAUUCUCCACCCACCAUAACAACAGGAUGCACAAUGGAAAGUCAUGUUUACAAAUCUCGCAUGCAAAUGAUUUGCAGAGGAGCCCAUGCUAUGCAGCAAUUUAAAUUUGUUGACAGAGUUGCUAAGAGACGACCCCUUUUGAUUCUCUGAAAUUCUGUUUGAUUCGGCUCUGGGCUCUGACAGCUGAAGUUAUUGAACAAGAGUGAGGACUCUUUAAAAGGGGGGGAGGAUCCUGCCAUUUGCUAUGUUUUCAGAGCCUGUAACACAACACUGAAUAUUUCUUCGGUGUCGGUUUUACUCGGCACGGGAGUGUCGGGUUCCAUGCAGGGCUGCUUUUCAGCUCCCCUGUAUGGUAAUAAAUGGCUUGAGCACUGAAUUCCACUGCUACACACACACGCUUCACAAAGGAUUUAUGAAUCUCAUAAGGUUCUUUGACAUCUCCCUUUUAAGUCCCUGUAUUUUUACUAGGGGCUCUUGAAAUAUUCAUUCUCUAACAUGCUUACAUACAGAGGCUAAUGGGCAGUGGACACCACUUCUUCUCUUGCUGACCUUAGGAGAGAAAUGAACCCUCUCCAAGAGAGUCAUAGGCAGGCAAUUAAAACAAGGCACCCAUAAGACACAUUCAGUUCUGUCCAGCAGUCAGCAUUAACACGCUAGCUACCAUUAAAAGUCCUUCAUAAAGAAGGAUGAGGCCUGGAGAACUUCCUUUGGGAAGGGGGUUCCACAACUGUGCCUCCUACUUUCUGCACCAUCACUAAUUCGAUCCCUGUUCAAGUCUUCAAUGUCAAACAUGGAAGAGGGGCAGGUCUUGUUUGCUGCUUUGCUGAGCCCCUGUUCCUGUUGACCUCCAUGUGCUGUAAGGUGAAAGCCUGCAGCAAUUGACCAUUCUACCUUUGUAGGCUCUCUAAGCACUUAGAACUGAAAGCAUUGCAUCACAUUUUCAAGGCCCAGAAUCCUUUUGAAAGAGGCCUUGUGACCACAUAUGCACUAUACGUUAUUUGACAAAAUGUAUAUACUGAAGGGACGCAGGUGGCGGAAGGGACGCAGGUGGCGCUGUGGGUAAAACCACAGAGUUUAGGACUUGCCGAUCAGAAGGUCAGCGGUUCAAAUCCCCGUGACGGGGUGAGCUCCCGUUCCUCGGUCCCUGCUCCUGCCAACCUAGCAGUUCAAAAGCACGUCAAAGUGCAAGUAGAUAAAGAGGUACUGCUCCUGCGGGAAGGUGAAUGGCGUUUCCGUGCACUGCUCUGGUUCGCCAGAAGCGGCUUAGUCAUGCUGGCCACAUGACCCGGAAGCUGUACGCCGGCUCCCUCGGCCAAUAAAGCAAGAUGAGCGCCGCAACCCCAGAGUCGGUCACAACUGGACCUAAUGGUCAGGGGUCCCUUUACCCUUUACCUUUACCUUUAUAUACUGCUAAAUAGAACCUCUAAGGGGUUUUACAAGAAAUAUAUGUGCCCUUCUUCCUCUCACAGAGUUAUGAUUGGUUUAACAAACAAUCCCUCUUCCCAGGGAAUUCUGGGAAGUGUAGCUCUAUGGGGGGGUGGUCUCUUGACAACUCUCAGCAUCCUUAGCAAAUCACAACUCCUAGGAUUCUUUGGGGGAAGUCAUGACUCUUUAAAGUGGUAUCAUAGUGCUUUAAAUGUGUAGUAAGGAUGUGACCUGGUCGACUACCACUUUAGUAGCCCCUGGUCCUUCCAUCCCAUCUCCCUCAGAGUCCACACCAUAAGCUGGAGUGCAUCUCUUGACAGUGGUCCUUGCGACUCAUGUACAGGGAAUAAAUAUAUACUGAGGUGUAAUCUUGAUGGCUUCUUCACAAAUUAAGAAUGCCCUUUUUCAAGGCUUUCAUAAAUAGAACUGGGGGGGGGGGAUGCAUCUUGGAAGCUAUCCCUGGAAUGCCAAUUGGCUGCUGAAGGGCAAGAGAGGCAUUUUAGAAAUGAAUCCAUAAAACAGAUAAAGAAGAAGGCUCGUUUACAUAUCCAGCACUGUCAAAUGUUCAAACCUCUUUCACAUAUCACGGGUUAAUUAGACUUAGAGUUGGACUUCACCAUGCUUCCUCACUGACAUCAGGGAGACUUAAGUUCACCAUUUCCCCCUUAUUCAGCAAAAAAAAAAAAGGGUAGUAAGAGGCCACAUUGUUCUUACAAUAACUUCAUAACAAAAAUGAAACAUAUUUACUCCAAAGGAAGUUCCAGUGAGUUCAAUGGGUGAAUAGGUUCAGGAAUUUCAUGGUCCCCCCCCCCCCGCUUUUAAUGGAAUCUGAACAUUCAGGAAAGUGGCCUGAAAUAACUCAGAUGGCCAGUCUCCCACAGGGUUCAGCUCUGAACCAUCCCUAAUUUUUCAGCUUUAUACCUCUCUUUUUCAGCUGGGAUGUGCAUGAGGACUGUGGUCAUCGGAGUGACCUACAGUGGGUAUUCUAGGGAUUAACAUUUUAAACUCUGGGGAAGGCUGCUCUUUAGCGCUCAAUCAGAGCAAAAGGCCAUUCAGGUUUUCUCUGGUUUGACGUUUGCUCCAAUUUAGCACUAAAGAGUGGGUUUUCCCUGGGAAAAGAGCAGGGCGAGUGGAAAACUGCUUGAACUAUCCGUAAAAAGCAUGGGUCAAGUGGAAAGCCACUCAGAUCCAUGCUUUCUAGGCACAAGACAAAUGAAAGUGUGGGCAAGCCCUCUGUUAUUCUGAUUGUGCUGUAUUUUAGGCAGGAAAUGGAACUGAUAGAUUUUAAAUGUGUUAUUUGCAUCUUGUUUCAGCUUUACAUGUGCCACCCAGAGCACUUUGACCAGCCAGUCAACAAUCAAAUUUAAAUCUAUGGGUCUUUCUUUCCUUUCUUUCUUUUUGUCCUAUAGAAUUUGAACGGAGCUGGAAUGUUACAAAAUAAAGGGCGCCCCCUUUAUAUAUGUGUUCCUUUUUUCACAAUGCUGAAUCUCCCGCGAUGUUUUAUGGAGAUGCAGCAUUCUAAGCUAAUGGAUACAUUACAUUUAUUUUUUAAAAAAAACAGCAACCCACCACAUGACAAUCCCAGAAUACAGUGUAAAGGAUAAAAGGCAAAGCUCUAAAUGUGACCCCUUUCCUCAAAGUCGUCCUUUUAGCACGAGUUUAUCGCCAUCAUUCAUCUUUAAAUACACUCGCAGUGCAAGAGAAAUGCUGGAAGGUCUUCUAGAGUCUGGUUUUCCCCCUCCCCUCUCUUUUUUUAUUUUUAUUUUGCAAGAGGAAGGAAAUUGAAUGUGGCAGCUUGACUACGAAGCGCUGCUGGGAGGGCAGCAGCAGCUACAUUUCCAAGAGCUGGAAAAGAAAGGCAGAGAGCCCAGGUAGAUGAGGGAAAGGAAUCUUUUACUUCUCUCUGACGUACUCAAAAGCGAUUUGAUAACAGCUUUAUAAAGACGAUCUUGUACUUCAUUUUUGUUUCCAGUCAAAGCACGCUCGUUACGUUCGGAAGCGGCGUCAUAAGAAAGCACAUGAAAAUUUCCUUUUGGGGGGAAGAAAAUACAUUUUCACAUCAGCUUGUGAUAUUUUUUUUUUAAAGUCCUCGUGAAAAUUCAGCAGCAUUUCAAUGAUUUCACCCCCUUAAUGUAGACAUUUUGAAUGCAAUUUUGCCUGGUAAUGCAUAGUAAUAAAUAAAUAAAUGUCUGGGGUUUUGUUUUGUUUUUAAAAGAAAAUGUGAAAAGAAAAAGCCACAAAUCCUGCAUUUUGGGAAGAUUCCUGGAGCACCCUUGCAUUCUUACUAAUAGCCUCCUCAUGAGCGGUCUUUGGUGGCACAUUUUUGCAACCAACAGCAUGUAUUACCCAGUGUCCUUGGUGUUGCAAGUUUAUUUAUUGACUUUGCUCUCAUGCCAUCCAAUAGCCAUCCAAUAGGUUAAAACUAUAUAAAACUGAGCAAAUGGGCCUGGUCAUGGACCGGAAGACAGUUUAAUUCACAGAAUCCCAGGGUAAUGAGAUCCAGGAAGUUAGGCUAUCCAUAAUAGCUUCCGUGAAUUUGAAGAAGUGUAUCUGAAGAAGUGUGCAUGCACACAAAAGCUUUUACCAAGAACAAACUUAGUUGGUCUCUAAGGUGCUACUGGACAUUUUUUAUAUAUCUAUACACCAUAUUUUUUGCUCUAUAAGACGUACCAGACCAUAAGACGCACCUAGUUUUUGGAGGAGGAAAACAAGAAAAAAAAUAUUCUGAAUCCCAGAAGCCAGAACAGCAAGAGCGAUCGCUGCGCAGCGAAAGCAGUGAUCCUUCUUGCUGUUCUGGCUUCUGGGAUAGCUGCGCAGCCUGCAUUCGCUCCAUAAGACGCACACACAUUUCCCCUUACUUUUUAGGAGGGAAAAUGUGAGUCUUAUAGAGCAAAAAAUACGGUAUAUCUCAGCUUCCAUGAAGGUUUUACAACUAUGAGCUGGGCUAGGAUGGAGCAGGAGAGCUUUGGGAAGUGGCCAAGCAGUCAAAUGGGACCUGCUGUGCCCUUAGACUGGUUGCCAGGUCUCAUUGGAGAGUUUUGCUCUGCCCCUUUAAAGAAGAUAUAGUAGCUGUAUCUGAUUCUACGUAGUCCUUCCUGCUCUAGAACACAAAAGUGGUUCUGGGGAUAUGGAUGGCUGCAAGUACCAGGGAACCAAUGAGUGGGAGAAGGUACCUUUGCUGAAUUUCUUGCCCUUGUCUCUAGGAAAAAGGCAAAAUUUUGGGUUGUGACCUGGAAGCCUUGGACCAUGUAAAUUUGAAGGAGGUACAUUGAUAUAGGUUCUGUCCAUUUACUAGAGUGCAGAAGAGGGACUGGUUAAUCAAAAAAGACAAGCAGACAUGUUAAUAGCCCAGAGUUGCUUAGGGAUGCACAUUGCAGACUGGAGCCUGGACAACACAAAUGUUUAAAUCCACCUCGAUUGUACUGAAAGCAGCUUGGCCUGCAGCGGUGUGAAUGUAAGCAAACAAAACCAGCCAGUUAGCAAGGAGCAUUUCAUUCUGCCUCUGUUAUGUUUGUGAGAUACUUGAUGCCUUAUUUGCUGUAGCGCAUUGCACAUUUACCGAGAUCAGUGCUGAGCAGAAAUGGUUCUGACUGCCUGAUGGCCUGCAGGAUCAACAUGGAAAGCAGUGGAAACUGUGUUCAGAUGGUCCAGGUAGCACCAUUUUAAAGAGGUGCCAUUGAUUCCGGUAAGAAUCAAUUCAUUCAUUCAUUCUGGUAAGAGUUAACAAAGUGUGCACAUGUAUGGAGACAGGUAUCCACCUUAACCCUUGCUUCAUCCAUCAGAAUCGUCAUAUUUAUCUCAUUUGUAUCCCAACUUACAAGGCAUAUUACUUAUCUCCCCUACCUGCCCACUUAGAUACGCAAACUACCGUAUUUUUCAUCCCAUAGGACGCUCCGUCCCAUAGGACGCACCUAGUUUUUUUGGGGGGGGAAAUAAAGGAAAAAAAUUUUCCCUUUAUUUCCCCCCCAAAACCAGGUCGAGGAAACCAAACCAGGUUGAGGAACAGCGGGAUGGCGGCGCUGCGCCUCCCUGCUGUCCCCCGAGCUUGUGGGGCUGGCCGGUGUCUGCCCAGCGGGCAGAGUGCUCUGCUUCAGGGUGCCCCACGCGCCGGGUGGCAGGCUGCUAUCCGCACCGUGGGGAGCCCUGCGGGGAACUCCUGUGAAUGUAAGCUUUGCACUAAUAUUCAGGGUGGAAGUCAGAGUUUAUUGAAGUCUCAGAGCCCAGUACAGCGACAGAUGAGUAGCACAAAACAGUUGUGUUCCAUAAUUGUUCCAGGAUCACAUCAUCAGGGUACAUCUCUUUUGGUUUAAUUCCAGUUGGAAAUCCAGAUUUCACAGCCUAGCUGCCAGGAUCCUGCUCGUGAGGUUUCCUCAAAACCAUUUCUUAGAAAUCUGGCUCACCAUUCUGAGACUACCCACAAGGAAAUUGAAAGAGGCUGCAGACUAGAAAUGUGUGGUGAGCGGAACAAAAAGCAACCUGCCCACUAGGCAUCUCUUUAAAUGUCCUCAUUUAUUUCCACAGUGCCAUUGCACAACUUCAGCAUUGCACAAUUUCACAAAUAAAAAGGUGUGGGUUUUUUAAAGUUUGCUUUUUUAAAAAAUAGCAGUCAAAUUUUCUCUAACACACAUAUACCACACUCAAACUAGGGUUGGGAUAUUUCAAAAAGUAAAAUUAUUGAGCUUUUUUUUUAGGAAACCACCAAAAUUGUUGACCUUUUUUUUUGGGAACAAACCCAAAUUGUUGAUUUGUGAAUUUAAGCUUUUUGAGCUGUUUCCACUGCUUUUUCCAUACAGCCGGGUUUUCCUUGACAUUUUACCAGUUCAGCAAAAUUCCCCCAGGACUCCAUUUUUAUACCCGAAAACCAGGACGUGUCAGGAAUUUUCCUGACAUAUGGCAAGCCUACUCAAAUUGAAAAAAUACUUUCCGAGAAUCAGAUCCCAAACAGAUUCCUCCUCCCGCAAGUUCUGAUCCAGAAACUGUGAUGGAAAUCCAGAACUUCAAAAUAACAGGGUAGAAUCUAGUUGGGAUAGCUUCUGUAACCAUCCCUACCAAAGCCCCUUUAAUUUACUUGAGAUUUAAAUAUGCAGUUUUGUGCAAUGGAUUGUGGUCCUAAUUUGUGCAAAAUUGGGGUGCUUGCAGAGUUUAUGCAACACAAAGGACUUCAUUUUUCUUGGCAUGCAAUUUCUAUUUAAGAAGAGGAAGAUUACCCUUGCAACCUUGAAUAAAAUGUUCUCUUUAGGUGCUUGAGUGUACAAGUGGUCCUAAACUGCUUUACGUCCCCAUGUUCCAGAAAACCGAUACAAUGGCUGUUUCUGGUUUGUUUCCCUUUAAUGAAGGAGAAGGAACCGUUGAGUUUCCUGGUGAAAACAACAAAGCAGCCGACUAGCAGCCUGGCAUCCUUAGCAAUCUUCCUUUCUACUUCCCCGUGCAUGUUGAGUGAUCCGGGAUGAAAAACUAACAAGCACCUGUCAAAUCUGAGACAACAGGGUUGCGUUUGCGUGUUUUGACAGACGGCCCACUGGACUUUCCCUAUCAGGAGAGCCUUUAUGAGUAAACCGAGAAAAUCUCCCUCAGACAAAAAGGGAAAACCGAGCUCAUCAGAAAUUAGCAGACCCUUGGCUUUGGAGGGCACCCGGUCGCUGCCGAAAGGCUUUUGAUCACAGUGCUUUCUUAUUCAGAUUUGACAUCACAUUAUAGCUAAUCAAUACCUUGCAACUGUCCAAGUCCCCAGUCGGACACACAUCUCACAAUCAGGCAGGGAGGCCUGCUAAUUGAAGAAAAGUCAGAGACACAGGUAGCAUUGCCCUGGGGCCAUUCUACUCCCUCUUUCUCCAACACACGCAGGCAUUCUCGCCCCUCGCCCCUCCACCCAACCAGAAUCUUGGAAAUGGUGGAAAUAAAAUUUAGAGACAUGACAGGAACGGGAGAGCAGGAUCAAUUCCUGUCACUUGCCACCAGUGUUUACUGCUUUCCCGUGUCUUCAGAGGGUUUUAUUCUCUCCCCUCCCCUCCCCUCCCUUCCCGACCCCACCUUGCCUCUCUCUCCCUCUCUUGACUUAGGGGAACUUAACCUUUUAUAAAUGGGAAGAUGGUACCUUCAUGCAUUUUAAAUGGCUUCAUUCUCCCAUUCUCGAGAUCAGCUCAGGUGGAGAGAUGGAUAGAAAAAAAUAAUAUUGGAGCACUGGCAUUUAUUUAUUAAGAUGUUUGCCAAACAUUUUGCCCUUAACACAGCAUAAAAUAGAAUAAAAUCUGCUGAAUCCUGCUACUGCUAUUCUCAGCAGCGCGAGUGAAUAUUUUCAAUUCACUUUAUGGAAAUAAAUCAAAGCAUUCCUGGACUGUGAUGUUAAAGGAGGUGCGGCUUCUCUCUCUGUGUGUGUGUCUGUGUAGUUUAAAAUUUUACCUAUUUGAGGUAAUCAGCACAGCCUGUGGCCUGUCAUCCUGGGCUGAUCGCCCAAAAGAGCCCACAAGUCAUGGUGGAGGGAGAGUAGCAAGGACGGUCCCUAAAGAGCAAUAAAGCUCCAAUGAUGUCUGGGAUCAAACUGAAACCUUCUAUGCUGGGACAUCUCAAGCUCUGCCCACUCCUUGAAAAGUCAAAGGGUUUAAAGGGACAGGCUUCUUGCCUGGAGCUCCACACUCUGGUUCCAUGCAGCAGAAGGUGCUUGAAGGCAGUGAUGCUCACUGGACCUGUGUGCAGUCUUUGUCCCAGGUUCAGGGGCUUGUGUAUCGAGGCCCCGUGACCACCCUGUUCCAUGAGGUGCAGAUAACUAGACAACACAUGGCAUAUUGGUUUUGGGAUCAGAUAAGGCCACAGCUUUAUUGGUUUGGCCAUAGGCAUUGUGCUAAGCAAAAGCACAUGUCACUCACACCCAUCCGCUGGGAGUGUUUCUAAGGGUGAAACUGGUGGAGGGGACGGACGCCCUAUGACCUACUUCAAAUUAGGGUGUUCCCCCAAGCAGUCCCCAUUGGAAGAGUGGUAUGGCCCUAGCCCCCGUCUGGGCAUUGGACAGGAGCCACUCCUCCUGGAUCCUUUUAACAGGAUACCUUUACCCACGGAGGGGCAGGCAGUGGCUACAACCUCCCCUCCAAACAAGACUAGGCUUACCCAAUGCUUACCCCUGAUAAGUGGGUGAAUGGACUUGUAGCACUUCUAGUUUAGUCUGUGGCAUCUUUGUCGCAGGACGGUUUCAGAUCUUAAGAGGUCUCUGGAUCAGUGCCUCUCCAUAGGCACCACUGGCCUGACUGUGAUAUUCUCCAGGCGCUGUUGGACUACAACUUCCAUAAUCCCUGACCCUGCUGCUGAUGAGAGUCGUAGUCCAAAAUAUCAGGAGGACACCAUGUUGACUACCCUUGCAUUGAAAACAACUGCAUCAAAAUCACAGUGCUGGCCAUUUUGCCAGCUCCUUUACUUCCUGUUACCUCCAGCAAUUCCUGCACAGCCUGUUGUUGGAGGCAUCAGCAAGACAAAGGACCGUUUCCAAAAGAACAUGUUUACAUCCUCUGGGAGUGGCUCUUUGAGUCAUUCCCCAGACUAUAUCUACUCAACCACACGAGACCAGAUCUUCUGGAACCAAUUUGCGCAGACGAUGAGUUUGGAGGAAAUAUUUUUGCACACAUGAGCACUUCCAAGGAAUCACUUCCGCUUCUGUUCAUGGUUGCAACAUUUUGCAUUGGGCUUUAAAUUGGCCUCAAUCCAAGCACUUAACUCAUGCACAUGCCAGCAGAUAGAGCUUAGUCCACUCAAAAUGUCUCCCAGUAGGUCUUCUUUCAGGCCUUCAUCUGCAAACAGCCCUAUUUAUCCCCUAAGAAUAAAAAUUCAUGUAUUCCCAAAUUCAAAGAGAAACUGUGGGCUGGCUUGCCUGUUAAUUCUUUCCAUUAUUUUAUUGCCAGCUGGAAAGAAUCAAUUGACAGGAUAUUUUUUUUAACGAAAAGGAGGCUACCAAGAAGCAGCAACAGCAACAGCAGAAGAUUAUGUUUUGUUGGUGGACAAAACUUUUCCAAGUCAUCAUCCGCUUGCGUUUGCCGUUUGUUUGUUUGUUAAUUUUGCUUGCUUUUUUUUAAAAGAGAAAACAUGUUUUCUCCAC